AAAAGACACUUUUUCGGCAUCCUCCCAGUCCACUGAGCUGUAAAUAGGCACUGGUGAUGGCUGGGGUAGUAACCUGCAAUGAACUGGUGUACUGUCCAGGGUCUCCAGUGGAGCAGAGUCAUAGACUCUGCUCCACUUCACACUGAAGUAUCUGGAGAUAAAUGCUGGCAUGGUUGGUCUCAGGUCCCUCGUUUAACUCCAAAUUAGUAAUUCAGAAGCUUUCGCAAGUAAUUCAAUCAAUGUCUGGAAUCUUUUGCGGUGCUAAAAAGGCAUUUAUCGUGGUGGAUGUAUAAUGCUGACCCACUGAAAAUGUGAAAUAACUGAAAUAAUGCCAUCUUGUAAAUUUUUAUAUAACUGUAUAUAUAUAAAUAAAGUAGACACUGUAAUGGAGUAAAGUACAUACAUGUAAUAUUACAUACAUAUGCAGAUAAUAUGUCUUUAGUCAAGGUAUAUAUAAACUUAUGCAUGUUAUCAAGACAUCACAACAACACCUAAUCUGAUUCUGAUCAAACUUGUCAGGUACAAUGCACCUACAGAUGGAAAGAAGUGAUUUGAUUUUGGUUAGGAUCACUCAAUGAUAAAAGGUCAGAGGUCAAGAUCAAACUUCAGGUCCCAUGCAAAACAAAUAAAGAACAUUUUUUUAUUAUUAUUAUAUUAUUAUAAGUCAGAGCGGGUGUGGAGGAAGAGCGGGUGAGCAGGGCAGUAGGACUACGGCAACAGGGAGCAUGGACAAGGUGGGAGAGCGCACUACAGCGCAGGAUCACCUGGACAAACAUCUUGCAGCCAGAUUUUCAGCGGGUCCGCUUCCUGGUGCAAGCUGUCUACGAUGCUCUGCCAAGUCCAGCGAACCUCCAUGUGUGGGGGAAAAGUGAGACACCUUCCUGCCCACUGUGCUCUGGUAGAGGCUCUUUAGAACACCUCCUCAGUGGCUGCCCAAAGGCUCUGGCAGAUGGUCGCUAUCGCUGGCGCCAUGACCAGGUGCUUAAGGCAGUCGCUGAGAGCGUAGCCUCAGCCAUCAGCUCCAGCAAGAACCAUCAUGCUCCAAAGAACGCAAUCU